rnacentral:rRNA from 1 species
UUGGACAAUGGUAGGAGAGCGUUCUAAGGGCGUUGAAGCAUGAUCGCAAGGACAUGUGGAGCGCUUAGAAGUGAGAAUGCCGGUGUGAGUAGCGAAAGACGGGUGAGAAUCCCGUCCACCGAUUGACUAAGGUUUCCAGAGGAAGGCUCGUCCGCUCUGGGUUAGUCGGGUCCUAAGCUGAGGCCGACAGGCGUAGGCGAUGGAUAACAGGUUGAUAUUCCUGUACCACCAUUAUUCGUUUUAAGCGAUGGGGGGACGCAGUAGGAUAGGCGAAGCGUGCUGUUGGAGUGCACGUCCAAGCAGUGAGAUUGAGUGUUAGGCAAAUCCGGCACUCUUAAGAUUGAGCUGUGAUGGGGAGAGGAACUUGUUCCUCGAGUCGUUGAUUUCACACUGCCGAGAAAAGCCUCUAGCUAGAAUAACGGUGCCCGUACCGCAAACCGACACAGGUAGUCAAGAUGAGAAUUCUAAGGUGAGCGAGCGAACUCUCGUUAAGGAACUCGGCAAAAUGACCCCGUAACUUCGGGAGAAGGGGUGCUCUUUGAGGUUCACGCUUCGAAGAGCCGCAGUGAAUAGGCCCAAGCGACUGUUUAUCAAAAACACAGGUCUCUGCUAAACCGUAAGGUGACGUAUAGGGGCUGACGCCUGCCCGGUGCUGGAAGGUUAAGAGGAGUGGUUAGCGCAAGCGAAGCUACGAAUCGAAGCCCCAGUAAACGGCGGCCGUAACUAUAACGGUCCUAAGGUAGCGAAAUUCCUUGUCGGGUAAGUUCCGACCCGCACGAAAGGCGUAACGAUUUGGGCACUGUCUCAACGAGAGACUCGGUGAAAUCAUAGUACCGGUGAAGAUGCCGGUUACCCGCGACAGGACGGAAAGACCCCGUGGAGCUUUACUGUAGCCUGAUAUUGAAAUUCGGUACAGUUUGUACAGGAUAGGUAGGAGCCUUAGAAGCGUGAGCGCUAGCUUACGUGGAGGCAUUGGUGGGAUACUACCCUAAUUGUAUUGGAUUUCUAACCCGCAGCACUUAUCGUGCUGGGAGACAGUGUCAGGCGGGCAGUUUGACUGGGGCGGUCGCCUCCUAAAGAGUAACGGAGGCGCUCAAAGGUUCCCUCAGAAUGGUUGGAAAUCAUUCAUAGAGUGUAA